rnacentral:misc_RNA from 1 species
GGUGUUGUGUUCUCAAUUAUUGAGGUCCUUUUCAUUGUUUAGAAGUGUUGUUUCAAUGGAUGAGCUAAAAGAUUUUCCUUAUACUUCAAUUAAUCUUUUACCCAUUUUUAUGGAAGCCUUAUUCUCUUCUACCAAGUGGCGGAUGCUUUUCUCCAACCUCUGGCAUGUCGAAACUUCAGUGGUUUACGGGACUUUGGCCUAGUGUGAGAUAGGCUAAUUUGUUGGGCUUUUU